AAUUUCUUUAAACCCAAAGAAUUUGGCGGUAUCUUAUUCUAUUCAGAGGAACCUGCCCUGUUAUUGAUAGUACACGAUUAACUUUACUUAAUUUAUUUGUUUGUAUAUCUCCGUUAUCAGAAGAUUUUUUUAGAAUUAUAAUUUUCUUAAUUUUUAAUUAGAAAUUAUUUCAGGUCAAGGUGCAGCUUAUAAUUAAGGAGAGGUGGGUUACAAUAAGUUUUUGUUUAUAAUGGAUUAGAGGUUUAAAUAUUUUUAUGAAGGUGGAUUUGAUAGUAAUUUAAUUUAAUUAAGUUAAUUGAUAUUAGCUCUGAGAUGUGU
rnacentral:rRNA from 1 species